rnacentral:rRNA from 1 species
CAGCGGUAGAGAGAGCUUGCUUCUCUUGAGAGCGGCGGACGGGUGAGUAAUGCCUAGGAAUCUGCCUGGUAGUGGGGGAUAACGUUCGGAAACGAACGCUAAUACCGCAUACGUCCUACGGGAGAAAGCAGGGGACCUUCGGGCCUUGCGCUAUCAGAUGAGCCUAGGUCGGAUUAGCUAGUUGGUGAGGUAAUGGCUCACCAAGGCGACGAUCCGUAACUGGUCUGAGAGGAUGAUCAGUCACACUGGAACUGAGACACGGUCCAGACUCCUACGGGAGGCAGCAGUGGGGAAUAUUGGACAAUGGGCGAAAGCCUGAUCCAGCCAUGCCGCGUGUGUGAAGAAGGUCUUCGGAUUGUAAAGCACUUUAAGUUGGGAGGAAGGGCAUUAACCUAAUACGUUAGUGUUUUGACGUUACCGACAGAAUAAGCACCGGCUAACUCUGUGCCAGCAGCCGCGGUAAUACAGAGGGUGCAAGCGUUAAUCGGAAUUACUGGGCGUAAAGCGCGCGUAGGUGGUUUGUUAAGUUGGAUGUGAAAUCCCCGGGCUCAACCUGGGAACUGCAUUCAAAACUGACUGACUAGAGUAUGGUAGAGGGUGGUGGAAUUUCCUGUGUAGCG